UAGGGAAUCUUCCACAAUAGACGAAAGUCUGAUGGAGCAACGCCGCGUGAGUGAAGAAGGUUUUCGGAUCGUAAAGCUCUGUUGUUGGUGAAGAAGGAUAGAGGCAGUAACUGGUCUUUAUUUGACGGUAAUCAACCAGAAAGUCACGGCUAACUACGUGUCAG
rnacentral:rRNA from 1 species